rnacentral:pre_miRNA from 1 species
AUUGUGCGGCAGUAUAGGACUGAAACUGUGGGAAGACUUACAUGAUUCUACCCCUUUUCAUUUUCAUGCUGCUUUGGAG